rnacentral:rRNA from 1 species
GCCAGCAGUCAUAUCAACCCUGCAACUCACCACUGACAGCACACUGAAGCUCAGCAGGUGUGGGUCUGGCCAGUACCUGGAUGGGAGACCUCCUGGGAAAAACUAUGGUUGCUGCUGGAA